rnacentral:snoRNA from 1 species
UGGAUCAAUAAUAACGAGGCCUGGGGCACCAGAAUAAAAUACCUCGAUUAAACUCAGCCUGUAACUCUGAGGGGCAU